UACAGAGGUCUCAAGCGUUGUUCGGAUUCAUUGGGCGUAAAGGGUGCGUAGGCGGCGCGGUAAGUCGGGUGUGAAAUCUCGGAGCUUAACUUCGAAACUGCAUUCGAUACUGCCGUGCUUGAGGACUGGAGAGGAGACUGGAAUUUACGGUGUAACGGUGAAAUGCGUAGAUAUCGUAAGGAAGACCAGUGGCGAAGGCGGGUCUCUGGACAGUUCCUGACGCUGAGGCACGAAGGUCAGGGGAGCAAACGGG
rnacentral:rRNA from 1 species